GUGUUCGAUUUGGCAGCACAUAUACUAAAACUGGAACGAUACAGAGAAGAUUAGCAUGGCCCCUGCACAAGGAUGACACACAAAUUCGUGAAGCAUGCCAUAUUUUU
ensembl:snRNA U6 U6 spliceosomal RNA